AUUGAACGCUGGCGGCAUGCCUUACACAUGCAAGUCGAACGGCAGCACGGGCUUCGGUCUGGUGGCGAGUGGCGAACGGGUGAGUAAAGUAUCGGAACGUACCUUUCAGUGGGGGAUAACGUAGCGAUAGUUACGCUAAUACCGCAUAUUCUGUGAGCAGGAAAGCAGGGGAUCGCAAGUCCUUGCGCUGAUUGAGCGGCCGAUAUCAGAUUAGCUAGUUGGUGGGGUAAAGGCCUACCAAGGCGACGAUCUGUAGCGGGUAUGAGAGGAUGAUACGCCAAACGGGAACGGAGACACGGUCCAGACUCCUACGGGCGGUAGCAGUGUGAAAUUUUGGACAAUGGGGGCAACCCUGAUCCUGCCAUGCCGCGUGAGUGAAGAAGGCCUUCGGGUUGUAAAGCUCUUUCGGCCGGGAAGAAAGCGCAUGGGCUAAUACCCUGUGUGGAUGACGGUACCGGAAUAAGAAGCACCGGCUAACUACGUGCCAGCCGCCGCCGUAAUAC
rnacentral:rRNA from 1 species